rnacentral:rRNA from 1 species
GACGAACGCUGGCGGCGUGCCUAAUACAUGCAAGUAGGACGCAGUUGCGAACGGGUGAGUAACGCGUAGGUAACUGCCUAUUAGAGGGGGAUAACUAUUGGAAACGAUCGCUAAUACCGCAUUCUAGUAGAUGGACCUUCGUUGUAUUAGCUAGUAGUUAGGGUAAUGGCCUACCUAGGCGACGCUACAUAGCCGAGGUGAGAGGGUGAUGGGCCAAACUGGGACGGUGACACGGGACAUACGACUCCGGGAGAUAGCAGAGGGGAAACUGCGGCAAUGUGGGGAACGCUGACCGAGCAGCGGCAGGUGAGUGAAGAAGGUUAUCGGAUCGUAAAGAUCUGUUGUUAAGGAAGCGGUACGUAGACAGAAAGGGACGGCUAACUACGUGCCAGCAGCCGCGGUAAUAC